rnacentral:rRNA from 1 species
AACGAACGCUGGCGGCAUGCCUAACACAUGCAAGUCGAACGAGACCUUCGGGUCUAGUGGCGCACGGGUGCGUAACGCGUGGGAACCUGCCCUUAGGUUCGGAAUAACUCCCCGAAAGGGGUGCUAAUACCGGAUAAUGUCUUCGGACCAAAGAUUUAUCGCCUUUGGAUGGGCCCGCGUUGGAUUAGCUAGUUGGUAGGGUAAAAGCCUACCAAGGCGACGAUCCAUAGCUGGUCUGAGAGGAUGAUCAGCCACACUGGGACUGAGACACGGCCCAGACUCCUACGGGAGGCAGCAGUGGGGAAUAUUGGACAAUGGGCGAAAGCCUGAUCCAGCAAUGCCGCGUGAGUGAUGAAGGCCUUAGGGUUGUAAAGCUCUUUUACCCGGGAUGAUAAUGACAGUACCGGGAGUAUAAGCGCCGGCUAACUCCGUG